rnacentral:sRNA from 1 species
UUUUAGCCCAGAUGGGAAUGAAAAGCCCAGAGUUAAAAAAGCUAAUUUUUCUUGUCAAAAAAGAGCGACCAAAGGAAGCUCCUUUUAUGGCUUAGAAAAAUAGAUUUUUUAACGAGGACUUGUAAUGUACAGCUGGAAUUGCU